CAGCAGCCACGGUAAUACGUAGGUCCCGAGCGUUGUCCGGAUUUAUUGGGCGUAAAGCGAGCGCAGGCGGUUAGGUAAGUCUGAAGUUAAAGGCUGUGGCUUAACCAUAGUACGCUUUGGAAACUGUUUAACUUGAGUGCAAGAGGGGAGGGUGGAACUCCAUGUGUAGCGGUGAAAUGCGUAGAUAUAUGGAGGAACGCCGGUGGCGAAAGCGGCUCUCUGGCUUGUAACUGACGCUGAGGCUCGAAAGCGUGGGGAGCAAACAGGAUUAGAUACCCCAGUAGUCCCUGUCUCUUAUACC
rnacentral:rRNA from 1 species